GACGAACGCUGGCGGCGUGCUUAACACAUGCAAGUCGAACGCUGAAGCUCAGCUUUUGUUGGGUGGAUGAGUGGCGAACGGGUGAGUAACACGUGAGUAACCUGCCCCCUUCUUUGGGAUAACGCCCGGAAACGGGUGCUAAUACUGGAUAUUCACUGGUCUUCGCAUGGGGGCUGGUGGAAAGGGUUUUUCUGGUGGGGGAUGGGCUCGCGGCCUAUCAGCUUGUUGGUGGGGUGAUGGCCUACCAAGGCUUUGACGGGUAGCCGGCCUGAGAGGGUGACCGGUCACAUUGGGACUGAGAUACGGCCCAGACUCCUACGGGAGGCAGCAGUGGGGAAUAAUGCACAAUGGGCGCAAGCCUGAUGCAGCGACGCCGCGUGAGGGAUGGAGGCCUUCGGGUUGUGAACCUCUUUCGCUCAUGGUCAAGCCGCAACAAUGGUUGUGGUGAGGGUAGUGGGUAAAGAAGCGCCGGCUAACUACGUG
rnacentral:rRNA from 1 species